rnacentral:rRNA from 1 species
GACGAACGCUGGCGGCGUGCUUAACACAUGCAAGUCGAGCGGUAAGGCCCUUUCGGGGGUACACGAGCGGCGAACGGGUGAGUAACACGUGGGUGACCUGCCCUUAGCUCUGGGAUAAGCCUGGGAAACUGGGUCUAAUACCGGAUAUGACUCCAUGACGCAUGUUGUGGGGUGGAAAGCCUCGUGCGGCUAGGGAUGGGCCCGCGGCCUAUCAGCUUGUUGGUGGGGUGAUGGCCUACCAAGGCGACGACGGGUAGCCGGCCUGAGAGGGCGACCGGCCACACUGGGACUGAGACACGGCCCAGACUCCUACGGGAGGCAGCAGUGGGGAAUCUUGCGCAAUGGGCGAAAGCCUGACGCAGCGACGCCGCGUGAGGGAUGACGGCCUCGGUUGUAAC